UACGUAGGGGGGCAAGCGUUGUCCGGAUUUAUUGGGCGUAAAGAGCGUGUAGGCGGUUUGGUAGGUCCGCUGUGAAAACUCGAGGCUCAACCUCGAGACGCCGGUGGAAACCAUCAGACUAGAGUCCGGAAGAGGAGAGUGGAAUUCCUGGUGUAGCGGUGAAAUGCGCAGAUAUCAGGAGGAACACCGGUGGCGAAGGCGGGUCUCUGGGCAAUAACUGACGCUGAGGAGCGAAAGCGUGGGGGAGCGAACAGG
rnacentral:rRNA from 1 species